GAAGAAGAUGACGAAGACGACCGAGUUAAUGGUGAUGAUGACGAUGACGAUGAUGGUAGCAAAAGGUUUCCUUCCAUCAUCAAUUGACUUUACUCUGUGUGCCUCACUAAUUACAUACAACGUGUUAAAUACAUUUAGAUGCCCCUAAAGACGAGGACCAGCAAGGCUAACAUGUAAAGAAUACGAAAGAAAAUACGAUGAGAGGAAGACAACAAAUGAAAAUCAAGUCAAAUUUCACCUAUUUUCCCCUUUAUUUACUUUUUUGGUCAAGAAAGUGAGAAAAAUUUUCAUCAGCAUUAUGUAAUAAUGUUAAAGCAAAGAGUAAAGUACAAGGUCUUCCUCCAAGGUAGCUCAAACUUUGCACUCAAAUAUCUCGAUAACUACUAGUCAGAGCAAGUUGUUACUUUGUAUUGGUGAGCUUUAUCGUAAAUUCCUGAUCAGCUAUUCAAAAAAUUUGAUACAAAGGUUCAAAUUUGGCCUCCGACACCGAAUUUUCAAGAUUGAUCAAAUGAAUGUCAAAGUCGUUUUAGUGCAGUUAUUUGAAAUUCAGAAUAUUUAAGGGUGAUCCGAAGGCUAUUUUCCAGCCAGAACAAUAAGUUGAUUGGGAGAUAACCAAAAUUCAAUUAUUCAACCAGGAUUGACGUAUAAACUUGAAAAUCCAUUGAGCCUGUGGAAGUGAAAAGAUGAUGAAGAAAAAUUUGAAAACAAUUUGAAGCAAAAGGAGAACCCAAUUCAGAGUCUAACUUCCGAUUUCUUGUUAUAAUACUUUUCGUUGUGCCAAAAUGAUUCGCAAUUUCAUUUCUAUUAUCAACAAGAAGAAGAAGUAAAAACUAAUAGUAAUUCUAUUAUCUCAGAUUUACUGAGACAGAAUUAUUAUAUAUUUCACUCAAAAUUUAUCUUCAUCAUCUUGAGGGCCAUCUUCACGUCUCACCCUUUUCCCUCCUCUUCCAUCUCCAUCAAAGCUUAAUCCAUCAAAUCAAUACUGACAACCAAGAUGGAGAUAUUUUUUUCCCUCAUCAUCAUAAUCAUCAUCAACAAUCAUCUUUUGUCUUUUCUCUUAACCAUGUUAACUCAAUUUCAGGGUAAAAACAAAGUAAAAAUCACUUUUACUCAACCAUUUUCAAGAUGACAACAAAAGCAAGGUUAAAAAAACCAAUAAAUAAUGAACCCGAUAAAAAGAUGAUAAAUUCAAACAUAAUAUCACAAAACAUUGUUAGAUGAUUGUGUUGAUGAAAAUGAUCAAAUGUUUCAAGUGAAAAGACAAUAUUAACCAUCAACAAUUAAGCCUCAUUAAUGAAAAAUUGAGAAUUAACUGUGAAAAGGCUUUAAGGGUUUACAACAUUUGACUACAAUCCAAGAAAUUGUUAACAAAAUUAUGUUAAUUUCAAAUGUUUCUUUCAUAAUCAUCUUCUGUAUCUAUCCUCAUCUUCAUGGUUACUUCAAGAAAUAAUUUUUACACUGAUAAUGAUGAAAAGUAAGAUUAAUACUAAUAUAACAAGUUGAUUGUUGAAUGUAAAAAAAGCGAUUGACAAACGUUUCUUUUUCCCAGUUACAAUACAGUUACAGUUGUACAAUUUUUCAUCCUGGAAUCGAGUCAACAAUCUUUGUAAAAAAAUUGUUCAACGACGAAAACCUCAACUCAACCUUGUAACCAAACAGGGUAACAAUUAAGUGUCAUUUUCAACUGAAUGUGGGUUGAUUUGAUACUUGAGAAAAGGUCAUUUGAGGAAAAGUGAAUUUCAAUGUUACCCGAAAUCGAUCAAAAAAUGAUGGUCCAUUCUCGCCUUUUGGUAUAAAUUUAAGUUCAUCUUCCUUAUAUUCAACCUUCAAGACUUGAACAAUCGAUGAACAAUUGCAAUUGUCAAAAGUGGAAAUGACCAGUUGACUAUUGAUCAUCACAAUUUUCACUGAAAAUCAUUUCAUUUUAUGCUUUUCUCAGGUUUCCAUUGUACCAAACUCAACAUGAAAAAAGCACAUUUAUCAUUCAAAUCAUCAACAACAAUCCUGUCAGUUGCAGUCACUUUCAUUGUAAAAUGUUCAUCUUGAAAUUUAAUAACCUUUCAUUUACUAACAUUGAUUAUUCACCUCUAAAUUGACAGCCUUUUGACCGUUUCAAUUGAAAGUCAAUUUCAAUCUUAAUUUGAAAAAAGUGUCUUCCAUCAACCAAAUUAACCCAAAGGUAAUCAACCUGAGAUCAGUGAAAAAGCAGAGCAAAAAAACCAAGAAACUGAAUUACAUAUUAAACUAAUUAUCUAAUAUGUAAUUACCUUUUUGUAUUUCUCACUUUCUGUAACUGCAAGUCUUGAAUGUUAAUGUUUGGCAAACAAUCAAAAAUUUAAACAAUUUAACCCU